rnacentral:lncRNA from 1 species
UGUUCAAGUGGGACAACCUAGGUGGCAACACUCAGGAAACUGUCCCGUCGGCCCCAGCACAGGGCUGGAUGUGGCAGCCAGGCUUCCGGCUUGGCAGACACGAAGUGGACACCUUUCCACGGGACGCUCUCUGGACUCCAGGGUCUGUGCUCCACGGGCAGCCACCAGGCACCUGCUGUGAGGGAAUAAUAAGGAAAAAGUCCGUAAUGUUCCCUGUGGAGUAACGACACGGUAUGCAAACCAGGCUCGGGCAGAGCGGAAGGGAAGCCACGGCAGAGUGUGUCUACACCACCACCAUCGGAGUGGAUGCAGUGUGAUCUUCCACACAAGGUUGAGCCAAUGCUGAUGCCCAGGAAAACAUACUGUGAUGAACCAGCCAACCAAAGACCCUGCGCCACUGUCCUUCGACCCAGAAAGGCUCAGCACACAGCAGACAGCCAGGGUGCCGGGGGGCUCGCCCUCGGAUCUACCCAUCUGGAAACAUGGGUCAUUCUUCUGAAAGAAUUUUGUGAAGAUCAUCUUGGGCUGGGCACAGUGGCACCUGCCUAAGAUCCCAGCGGCUUGAAAGGCUGAGGCAAGAGGAUAGUGAGUUCAGAGUCAGCCAAGCCAGUGAGACCCUGACUCUAAAUGAAAUACAAAAUAGGGAUGGCCCUGUGACUCAGUGGUGAGCACCCCCAGCUCAAUCCCUGGCAACCCCCUCCACUACCACACAAAAAAUCAUCUUGGAUGAGGAGGUAGUAACAAUGGCAAAUAUUUUGUAGGUUCUAUUAUGUGCCAGACAUAAUUCUAUAAAUGAGGGUGGGAGGGAGAACACACACCCAAGUGAGAGAGGUAUCAAGACUUCAGGAAAUUCUUUGUGAAGACAGCAGAUUGUCUAAGCAAAAGAAAAUAAACAAUCCAGG